AUUGAACGCUGGCGGCAUGCUUUACACAUGCAAGUCGAACGGCAGCGCGGGCUUCGGCCUGGCGGCGAGUGGCGAACGGGUGAGUAAUACAUCGGAACGUGCCCAGUAGUGGGGGAUAGCCCGGCGAAAGCCGGAUUAAUACCGCAUACGACCUGCGGGUGAAAGCGGGGGAUCUUCGGACCUCGCGCUAUUGGAGCGGCCGAGGGCAGAUUAGCUAGUUGGUGGGGUAAAGGCCUACCAAGGCGACGAUCUGUAGCUGGUCUGAGAGGACGACCAGCCACACUGGGAGUGAGACACGGCCCAGACUCCUACGGGAGGCAGCAGUGGGGAAUUUUGGACAAUGGGCGAAAGCCUGAUCCAGCAAUGCCGCGUGUGUGAUGAAGGCCUUCGGGUUGUAAAGCACUUUUGGCGGGAACGAAAAGGACUGUGCCAAUACCACGGUUCGAUGACGGUACCCGCAGAAUAAGCACCGGCUAACUACGUG
rnacentral:rRNA from 1 species